rnacentral:rRNA from 1 species
UACGAAGGGGGCUAGCGUUGCUCGGAAUCACUGGGCGUAAAGGGUGCGUAGGCGGGUCUUUUAAGUCAGGGGUGAAAUCCUGGAGCUCAACUCCAGAACUGCCUUUGAUACUGAAGAUCUUGAGUUCGGGAGAGGUGAGUGGAACUGCGAGUGUAGAGGUGAAAUUCGUAGAUAUUCGCAAGAACACCAGUGGCGAAGGCGGCUCACUGGCUCGGUACUGACGCUGAGGUGCGAAAGCGUGGGGAGCAAACAGG